UAUGAAGAAGCGUCGUGGUGUGACUGUUGUGUCCAAUUUUACUUCGUGUAUUUCUCGAACGAUGAGUGACGAGAAGUCAGUGGGUGAUAUCAAAUCGUGAUAGCAAUCAGGCGACACUGUGCAGCAUGACAGAGCGUCGUUCGGCUAUUUUCAUCGUUGUUCCAUUAAACCACCCUUUAGGGCAAGUAAUGAUCGGGAUCAUGGCAAGAUAUGCGAGGAAAACCGAGCGAACGAAGUUGGACAAACUGUUUUAAGAGCGUGCACGAUGGAAAACGCUCGACAAGUGGACGCAGCCUGUGAAGUGUCGUUGUCAAGAAGCUAAUCGCAGUCAUGUCGAACAAGACAAAUGCCACGGACGAUUUUCUCGAUUAUGAUAUGAACGAGUCGUUCGGCCGCUUCGACUGGGCGGAACUUGGACCAGUUCUUGUCGUCUAUUCGCUGACGUUUUUCCUUGGAUUAAUCGGAAACGUCGUCAUCAUUGGUUCGACGUUGUGUCCAAGAUUGAGACCUUUACCAGCGACUCCAACUAACGUCUUUCUGGGUGGUUUGGCAACGGCCGAUCUUCUCCUCAUACUCUUCUGCAUUCCCGUGAAAGUGGCCAAGCUGUUCUCCUACACGUGGACGAUGGGCCUGUUUCUAUGCAAGUCGGUGCACUAUAUGCAGAGCGUUUCGGCUAUUUGCUCGGUCGUCACGUUAACCGCAAUGUCGAUCGAAAGGUAUUACGCUAUAGUUCAUCCAAUGCGGGCGCAGUACACGUGCACGAUAAGUCAGGCUCGCAAAAUAGUAAUUACAACUUGGGUGGUGUCAUUCCUCCUUGGUAUUCCCAUGAUUUUCACGCAGACGCACAAAGAGGUUGGAAUGAGGGUAAUUGCUUACUGGUGCGUGCGCGAUUCAGAAUCUGGACUCUUAUGGCGCGCCCACGAGGUUUACAUGCUGGUCUUGGUGCUGGUGCUGCCCUUGACCGUGAUGGCGUAUUGUUAUACCGCCAUUUGCUGGGAGAUUUGGCGAGUUAUGAAACGUCGAUAUCAGAUGACAUCUCGGCGAACGCUGAAUCCGACCAACAUCGAUACAGAAUCCAUACCAAUGACCCAGAGACAGAGCAUACGAAAUAAUCGUCGCGUUCAGAGACAAGAUGAUCAGACUGAAGAGGAAUCUCGAACGAUAAGACAGGUGGUGAAGAUGUUGGUUGCGGUGGUCGUGCUGUUUGUUAUUUGCUGGGGUCCAAUCCUCGUGGACAACAUGCUCACAUCCUAUGGCUACUUACCACGAGUAAAAGUCGGCACGUACAAACACCUCAACACAGCGUUUCAGCUGAUGGCAUACUUUAACAGUUGCAUAAAUCCGAUCGUUUACGGAUUCAUGUCGAAGCACUUUAGGGAGAGUUUCCUGUCAGCGGCCUGCGGCGGCUGGUGGAUAUGCUGCCCGAGAAGGGGUUACAGAGCACCUGUGAAAAGGCAUCCGAGCCUCAGCCAGACCAGGACGACCAGUAUCAGGUGGACACGAAACUCGUUCCGGGAGUCGAAGUAUCAAAACUCAGCUGACAACCAUCUCGUAGUCCAUCCGUGAUAAACCUUUUGGCAAACAUCGUUGUCCACGAGCGUCCGAAAUGUCGCAUAAACACGAUGAACACUCUGGCUAGAAACACGAUUUCCUCUAGAUGGACUUGAUUAUUUCGUCGUGCCCGGCCCACGUCGAGGCAGCUCUUUCACAGGUAAAAUUAACGAAAGAACAGGCAGAACAGGCUUGAAGAAGAAAUCUAGAAGACAAAGUGUUUUCCCUUGUUCUCGAAUAAUUUCUGAACGAGCGAGAUGCCAAGUAUAAAGUACUCAGAGUCUGUCGUUCACGGAAACUCGUGUGUCGAAUCUCGCGAUUUGUUUUUUCUUUUUUUUUCUUUUCUUUUCACUAAAGUGUAAAGCAUUGCUCAAGUUGUGCGUAGAUGUUGAGAGAGAAUUGCUACGAGUGAAUUUGUCGUGUGAAACGCGUGACAUUUGUCUCGAAAAUAAACGGCGAAGAGCAUAAUUGCAUGACCUGUGAUUAAUUGUGGAUUUCGUGUGAAAUUAUUCUUCAUCGUCGUUGACAUUAAGAUGACAGAGACAUUUUAAAUAAUAAUUAAUUCCAGCUGAAGUUAAGAGAUGACGAACAUAAUCGACAUUCGCGAGUAAUUGUAACAAAGUGGCAAUUUGAAUUUCUCGAAAUAUAAAAGUCAGUAAUUUUAUUGUAAUUUGAUUUUAAUCUAA